ensembl:lncRNA
UACCUUUUUUUUGUACCAAUAAAGGUUUGGACCCAUUCGAAAUUUGGAUGUGAUAAUGCUAAAAUACGCUAAAAUAUAAAGUUAUAGAUUGAUAUUAUAAUAAUUACCAAAUGUGCAUUCAGCCCUUGGUGAUAUUACUACAUUAUUAUGCUAGUAUUUGACUAGCAUCUUCAAAGUACACACCAUUCUCUUACACUUUCCAGUAGCUAUGAAAUGACCAGCUGCUACAUUUUGUCUGCUAUAAAUCUUAAAAUUGAAACUUUGACGUUUUCAACCGCCAAGUGAAGGAAACCGCCGGCUCCCCCAAAAGAGAAUCAGGACUAUAAACUGCUGUGAAUCACCGAUGUCGGACCACAUGACACGCUACUCUAUCCCUCGUAAUCCCUCCCACAAGGGAGAGGUCAGGGCUGUUAUUCCGCGUCCUCCUCCAUCAUCCAGGUGCCUCCCGACCGAGUUUCCAAAAACCCCUUCAAACUCCCCCCGUUUGUGUCUCAGGACGAGGCGGCGAAAUGGAAAAAGAAUCCGUUAAAUCUCUAUGUCUCCAGCAGAUGUGGCGGCUCUGGUUUCUUUGUAUUUUAUAUCAAAAAACCCGGAGAAGUCGCCACGACGCGAUGGCAGGGACCUCGCGUGAGACGCAAAGCUCUUAACGACAACGUCCAUGGCUUGGUUUAAAAGAGAAGUGCAAAAAAAAAAUCCAUCCCAAGCGCUGUAUCUGUUCACGUUGGGAAAAAGUCUUUAAUCUCAAACCCUUGGAACUGGGAUCAAGCGAGCGCGGGUCUAUCGCUGAGCAGAGGGCGUGCGCUGUUAAACGAUCAAUAAAAGUAUUAUUAGGAUCCGCCUUUCCAACAUUGUGAUCUCUGUUUUCACGGAGAAAAUGUAAAAUAUCAAAGGCUGCGGCCUCCAUGAUGGAAAGGUGCCUCUGCGGACUGAACUGAGUGUUCCUGCUGGUUCUUAAACAGAGUGAUUUUCCUCUCUCAAACGCUCUAAAUCUUCUAUUUUACAACCUCGCCGGUCCAGUUUUGAUGAUCCACGACUCUCGUAUCACUGCGUAUUAAUCCAUGAAACAAAACUAACGAUUCCUGUGCAUUUGCCUGGCAAAGCAAAAAGAAUAUAAUGAUGUCCCUGGAAACAUCUGGAUUAUAGAAAUAACCUGAUGAAAUAUAAUUGAAUUGAAUUCUGCUUUUUUUUUUCUUUCUCAGUGCAGAUUUGCGGUUUCCAUGUUUCCUGAUGAUCUGAAUGCUACUGUGUUGCCUUCAGUCUCACGGUCUCUGAGGCUUGGGGACCUUCAAGGUCUGCUCUCUCAUAAUUGUUUCCCAAAAGGCACAACGGUGAGGUGUUGUUUGCUCUGUGGCGACCUCACAAAACCAUGCUUUCAGUAGGCAAUGACCUCCCGUUCUACCAAGCGAUGCAGAAGCAUUUUAAAACUUGCCUUCUAUCCGCUGACCACCUAUAGUAGUACACGAGAAAAUGACUACUUCUCUUGUUUUUUAGUAAACUAUAGACCAUUUAGAGUCAAAUAGACAAUAAAGCAGGGCAUGCCUUAGGGCGGGUCUACCUUUUGAUUGACAUAUAAGACUGUCCGUUUUAGCGUCUUUCAGCACAUCGAUUUUUGUAGUUUUUUUUCCGUUGGAGGAGACCGAACCAGAGCUAAAAGGAAAGUGAGCGUUCCACUAAAAUUCAUCAAGUAGCUUUGAACACAGCUUCAAGCAAAUGCCAAUGUUCCUCUGCCUCUGCUUGUAAAUACCCAACUAAUGUUCUCCCUUUAGGUAAUGCUUAUGUUGGUUUGGAGUCAUUGGUGGGUUAGCAGUGUUUACACACACCACAUCCACAGUGGUAAAUUCUGUUAACACAGAUGUCAGCAACAUGGUCGAGGUCCAAUCAUGUACUAUUAAAAAUCUGGCCUGUAUAAAGACACUUUGGGUUAAUUUGUGGUGUAAAACAAAAGUGACGAGCCUAUAAGCUGGAACAUCUCAGAUUUCUCUUUUUAUUUUCAUAAAGAAAUCCGGUUGAUGGAUGGCGAUUGUUAAGGCUGCUUAUUGAAGCCCACCUGACCCUGAUUUACUCUCCGGUCCACCGUGUUUUUGAGUCGGAGCCGGUGGUCCACUCUUCAUCCGUGAUUUAUAAGCAACUCUUGAGCCAGAGUGAAAACAACCAGUGCCAUAUAGAUUUCCUGCUGACGGAGAAAUACGCGGGCAAAAGGAAUUGGCGGGCGAACACUUGGGCGUCCCGAACGCGACAAACACCGACGUAUUCAUUUUUAUUUUAGUUUUUCAUGCCAUUUUGCCGCUCCAGAUUGCCCUCAAAAUAACCCAGAAAAAUCGAAUGUAGGCUGGUGCGGCGUCACAAGUGAAACCCAAGUCGUUUUUUAGUAGUGGUGGUAUUUCAUCCCUUAAUGGGGCUGUCAGAGGGAAUUACUCUCUCCCCUCCCAAUAACCCUGGUAUUACCAUCAACACAGCAACACCGCUCAUGUAUUUGUGUGUGUGUGUGUGUGUGUGUGUGCGCCAUAGAGAAGGAGGGAGGACGUAGAAGUGACUACAGAGAGACGAGAUACAUAGGCGGAGGAGAGACCUCGAGACUGUGUGCGCGCGUGCAUGUGUGUGGUUUUGUCAUUAGUGUUGAAGGGUUAUUACGGGUUCCCAGACUGACUGGCCACUGCAGUAACAAUGUGCUAAUGCAUGUCUGUCUUCCAUUUCUUUCUCCUCUUCAUAAUUCCCUCUAAUUCGCUCCCUCUCUAAACACCUACGUGAAAGUAAAAGUGAGCGAAGUAAAGUUCUUGAGCUCGGUGGCGGAAGAGGUGUUCGAGUCCCACAGUAAACGGACUGUGAAACUGUGUAAUUACACAUUUUCUGCAAACAAACACGUCCUUGACACAUUUGUAGUCGGCGGACUGAAUGUUUGGGUUUCAGGGAGAAUUUCAUUUCGUUGGCACAUCCCAGAAACCAGAGCGGGUAAGUUUUAGGGACCAGUGUUUGCGCGGAAACCGCCUUCUAAUGGGGAGGCAGGAGUUUUGGUCCCUUAAGGAUCAGAUCUGACAGCGUAGAGUGUAGUAGGACGUUGACGCACAAUGCAGCGGGAGGAAACUACAUGUUCGUUUGCUUCUGCUUUGAGACCGUUUUGAUAUAUUUUCAGCGUGAAAGUACCCAACAACAGGAAAUCAAAAGGUUUGGCUCAACUUUUCUUUCUCAAUAUGUUGUUUCUGAGCGUCUAUCACAAAUGACGGAGUCCUUCAUUCACACACUGGAGUAAUACAAUGAGGAGCAAGUGGUUCAAAGUCCUGAAAAUGCUGGCGAACUUUAGGGAAGUACAGGGAGCUAGAUCCAGGAGAGUUCUGGCUUGGCAUUGCGUAAAGAGGCCCUUAAAUCAGGUGAAUAUACACAAAAAAUACAUUUCUAUUCCAAAUUAGAUCCCGUACAGGAAGUCCAAAACGUUUUCUUUGGUAACAUCGUUAGCCGAAGCCAACGCAGGGAAACGGAACCGAUUCUCUGAGAAUCUCAUGUCGCUCCGCUGCUCGGCCCCACCGAGCCGGAGUGAGAUUUUAAAGAGUAAGACGGCCGCUUGGCCCGGACUCGUGUUUCAUUUGAGCAGAAAUGGUAUUUCCCCCUUCGUGGUGGUCAGGGAGCUUCUGCCAAAGAGCGUGAGGCCUGCGUUGUGCAAAGUGUGACCUUCAUGAUGAGGAGAAUCCUAUCUGAAGAGCACAAAGGAAAAGAUGGACACCAGCCGGUGUUAUUUCAGCUGCAUUACUGUCGCACUGUAAAUACAGUUAAGUUCCCUUUUGUUAGAUAACUGUGAAUUUGAUCCGUGCAGCUUUUGACUUUUGGUCUGAGGAAAAACCACCAACUUGACUCGGACACAUCAUCAGUGAAUGUGUUUCAUUCAGGCGGCCGUAUAGUUACAGUCUGUUUCCCGACUCUCCUUUGUUCCUACAGGACGCUCUGACACAACUCCUUUCCAUCCUGAGGCCUUUCUUUGUUGCGUGUGUGCAGUAAAUGUUCUACAAAAUGCCCAAAUUAGGCUGAGUUCACAAGGU